UCCUUCUUAGCUCAGUUGGUAGAGCGCGUCACUAGUAUGUGCGUGACAUAAAGCGUCAGGAUCGCACUAUGACGAGGUCAGUCGUUCGAGUCGGCUAGAAGGAA